UAACCACAAGUCAAGUCAAGUCGAGUUGGCUCCGGCAACACCGCCUCCGCCAGUACGCAACCCUUGAAGACAAUUGUGUAGCGUCUUCUGCACAUUAUCCGCCACCGUUCUCAAUCUCCCUUGAUUCAAAUCUCCACCCGAAGACCCGUCCACUGUCCGAAUCACUCUCUGUUUACAAAGCUCCCAGUCUUCAACCCGAAGCCAGCACGACAUCCCACCGUGGCUGCCUUCCAUUCCAAGAAAACACACAUUAGGGUUUUCACCAAACGAAUACUUCAACCUCACGGAAACACAGUACGGCAACCACGCAGCACCACCGGCAGCGUUAAUGUGAGGUAUGUGUGCGGGGUCAAGAACGACGGUCAACCCAAAGUCAACAGCAUUAUGAGGGCGGUCAUAGUGAAUAUUACUUUUUGAAGCUGAUGAGUUUUCCAAACUUCCGUCUGUAACUAAUCCCGUGUGAUUUUCAAGGCAUAACUCGAUUCGUGAUCUUUGUGCCGGUGGAAUAUCACUGCCUUGGGCCUGAGCUAAACCUUUUUUCCAUGCUAUUAGUUUCAAGAAUUCUCGCAAAACGGAAAUUGGUAAUGUGAGAAGAGUGAUGAACGAUGCAACACGGGAUGCAUCGUACGGUUCAGAUGCAACACGGCGGCUGAAGUAGUCGCAUAUUUCACUUAUUUCAGUUUGACUUAAUUCGUCUUGACCGGUUACCGAGGUGUUCUGCUGUUGCUGUGCGUUAUGAAAUCGUUUUACGCUAAGAACCUGGAGAAGAAGCCGGCUGCUCCUGAUCCAAAUUCAAGAGUGCACCUUCAUUAUCUUUAAGAAUCGAUCCAAGGAUUUCCUUCAAGAGUUCCGGUAAUUGCGCAAAAAGCCAUAAUACACCAAGAUAUUUCAAAAUGCCUCUAAGAACCUUUUUGAGAGCAACAAGAGGGACCCACCCGCCACCAUAACC
rnacentral:lncRNA from 1 species